CAUUGUGUUGGGAAUGAUGAAGACAUCCCCGAUGGCAGUACUUGCACGCUUGUCCAUUUACGACCAUGCCCAUUGUGUGGCGAGAUAGGCAAUCAGACACGGUUGGCUGAAUCAUCUGGGCCCUGAGUAUUUAUGCAGCAUAUAUAUACACAUCAAAUGGGAAGGGUAGGGCAUACAAGGGCAGUACGGGGAGAAAAGGCCUCGUAGCUGGCAUCGUGGCCGUGUGGGGGGAAGGUGGCUCUGAAAUUGCCUGCGACAAAUAUAAUUUAUUAGGAUAUCAAAACCACAAGGUAUCAUAAGGAACAUAGUACAUGAACUGGGCGUAUACCUUGUUCAAGGCAAUGAAAGUACGUUCAGGAAAACCCAUUCACAGUGGGGGGAUGAUGCUCACAACUCCACGCAGAAAACGUGGGAAACCUUGCGGUGCCUUCCAGGCAAACCAUCCGGGGCGAAACGGACGCCCUUAACCCAAACCCGUAUACGUGCCGGGGGCGUGCGUCACUUACGGGGUUGGAGGAUAUGAAGGACUUGCUGGUCACCACCAUAGACAGCAGGAUGAUGGUGACCACCGAAUUGAGCAAGUAGGAGCUGAAGAGGUUCUUGUGCAGCGUGAUCCUCUGACAGCUGAGGCUCCUGCACGACACCAGAGGGGAGGGGGGGGGCAGCCCACCAUGGGGGAACGUCGACCAACGCAGCCUCUACUUGCCAUUGCCUUUUUAAGAGCCUCCGUACGAAUGCAUGGUUUUCAUGGGUGGUGUUUUUUUUAAUAUAUAUAGACGUGUCCAAAUUUUAUGUGCGUGCAAGUUGUGGGGAGAGAGGGGCUGCCAGACACGCCAUGUCUGGCUUGAACAUGCUGUGGCAAAACCGCUAGACUCACAAUUGAAACGUUUAAAUGUCAGCCAGGGGUCAACGCAGACCACAAUUCCCCCCCCCCCCCCCCCCCCAAGGUUUUUGAAAUGCGCACCACUACGCCACUAUUGAAAAUAGACGGGGUUCCAAUAAUCAUAGAGCACGCUCGCAAUACAUGCAUUGAACGGUUUGUGUGGAAAUGUGUUAUUAAUGCAAAUUACAUACCUAUGUUACAUGUUGCACCUCCCAUGAGUACAGUUGGCUACGUUACGGAAUGAAAUAACUGAGUCCUCCAUGCAUUUUGGGCUAAUAAAGUGAGCAAAACUGUGCAAACGUUACAGGAGGAACAAGCAUUAAUAUGAACCCGACUGCACAAAGACGAAAAAAACAUUCGAUUCUUGAAUCGAAUCGUGACGCAGAGCCGUGACGAAUUAGUCAACUCUCGCCGCAGGAUUAUAAACGGAUUACAUGCCAAAUUCCCAGCAUAGGAAUGUGGAAUUCAAGCGAUUAGCUCAGGCCCGCCAACAGGGAUGAGCAAGAACCCCACGCCAGCUUGAGCAAUGAGACUCGACGACCAUCGCCUGCCCACGUCACACCCUGCGAGGCCAAGCGGGGAUCUCCAUCGCUUUGGCUGGUGGGCACAGGGGGCAGCGCUCCUCACUUGAAGUAGAAGAAGAUGAGGAGGGAGAAGAGCAGGGAGACGAUGGAUAGGCCGUGGCCGAUGACCGCCAAGUAAUACAUGUUCAGCGUGGUCUUCAGGGUUGUGGACACGCGGGAACACGCACACACGCACACAAACGCACACACACACCACACGGUACAGCGUGAGAACAGGCAAAACCCCUCUGCAAGUGAGGUGAAGUAUGGUGAAUGCGCAGCAUUGCAAUACCUUUGUCAUCCUGCUGCUGGAGGAAGUGUCUCCAAGCCACGGGAGCUACACACUUUUAAAUCCUAGAUUGAAAAGUAAUUUCUUUGAAAUCGCUUUUUGUGUUUUAGUUUGUGUUCUCCCUCUUCCCCCCCACCCCCACCUACCCCGAACCUCUGAUUAGCACAGUUUGGCUGCAUACGGUGAGAAAGGUUCAACCAGCAUGCAUACAUGGAGUUCUCGAAAGCCCCUCCAGAGGGUAUUUAACCAACUCAUCUACA